rnacentral:rRNA from 1 species
GGCGGCGUGCCUAAUACAUGCAAGUAGAACGCUGAAGGAGGAGCUUGCUUCUCUGGAUGAGUUGCGAACGGGUGAGUAACGCGUAGGUAACCUGCCUGGUAGCGGGGGAUAACUAUUGGAAACGAUAGCUAAUACCGCAUAACAGUAGAUGUUGCAUGACAUUUGCUUAAAAGGUGCAAUUGCAUCACUACCAGAUGGACCUGCGUUGUAUUAGCUAGUUGGUGGGGUAACGGCUCACCAAGGCGACGAUACAUAGCCGACCUGAGAGGGUGAUCGGCCACACUGGGACUGAGACACGGCCCAGACUCCUACGGGAGGCAGCAGUAGGGAAUCUUCGGCAAUGGACGGAAGUCUGACCGAGCAACGCCGCGUGAGUGAAGAAGGUUUUCGGAUCGUAAAGCUCUGUUGUAAGAGAAGAACGAGUGUGAGAGUGGAAAGUUUCACACUGUGAACGGAU